UCAGGUGUGAAUGAAUGAGAAAACAAGUGGAGUGGGAAGCGAGUGAGAAGCGAGUGGGAAGCACAAUAAUGAUACUACAUUCUAAACAUACAUAUACACAAGUGUGUCUGCAUCCAAACUUAUACUCUCACACAAAUGAACCAACCUUCUACACAACACAAAAAUAAUCAACAGCGUCCACAACGGUGCCCAUGAUUAUUUUGUAUUAUGUGUCAUAUCAUUUUGCGUUGAACUGAGACCAAUAUCUUACAGAGAGGGUCCUUGCUUAUGACAUCUCUCAGUUUACCAGCAUUUGUUCAAACAAGCCUGACUCCUCUGAUUAGACACUGUAUGUCAAAACCGGUCCAAAGUUUGCUUUUGUUGAACUAAUGAUACUGAAAUUAUACUCCCAGAAGGCCUUGUGGUUCACGGGAAGUGUAAAAACACAUGCUUUUUUAUGUGGAGAGAGAAAUGUAUAAUGUUUGCUUAUUUAUCAAGCUUCCAGAGUACUGGUAUACAAUUUAAUGUGUGGUUUAUGGUUGGUUAACUUUAGAAUUUGGAGGAAUGCACCUCCAAUUAACACGGUUGGCUAUGUACAAUGCGAAAGAAGUUCAAUAUAUAUACAUACAAGUUAACCGAACUUUAAAUAUUACAGCAAAGCCUUUAUUUGGCAACUAGUGUUGAAUUUUUGAGAAAUCUGUGGAUUAACAUUUCUUUCUUUGGAUUAACAUUUAUUACCGAUGAAUAUGCUUGGUUUACAAAGCAAGAUAAAGGUCUUCCCACACCAUGUCCGUUAUGGGAGUUGUUUGACCAUAUUUCACCAUGUUGAUCAGUGAGGAUUGGUAAAGAGGAGGCCCGCCACCAGUUUCAAUAGAAAUCAAUUUCCACUGAUGUUAGCCAUGGCAGGGAAUAAAACUCAUGUCAUCAGAUUCACACAGUGCAGCGUGCUUACCACUCCACCACCCUUCCAACCAGUUCACAAUAAUGUAUGCGUUUUCCCAUUCAGAGGCGGGAUUCGUGCCAAAAUACUGUGUAUACAUGUAUAAACAAUACGACUUGAGAAAAUAAAUAACUAAAAUAUACAUUGAAACCCAUUAACAACCCACAAUGACUAGUAUGGUGAAGUGUGGCCAAUCAACCCCCAUGACCGACGUUUCAUGGCGGGACCUCCAUCCAUUUUGAUGUGAUAUUAUUUAUUUGAGCAAGUUUUGCUAUUUAAAUUGUGGGUAAAAACUGACAGUUUGCAUGCCUUGGAAAAGAAAAAAAGUAAAACCUAAAACGACAAAAUGGGAACGUAACUUAAUUUGGUCAAAGUGCCAUGCGUGUGUGGUCAUUAUGUCAGAGGGCAGGUGGGAUGUGAUUUUCCCCACGUUAAUUUACACAGUCACGGGCCUCACUGCACCAAUUUGCGCAGUCUCGGGCCUCUGCAGAGGGCUGGCCUGGACACGUCUAGAGCACAGACCCCCAGACUCCCCUGCCCCCUCCAAUCAUCCCGCCAGCCAUGCAUGCCACAAUGCAUUAUGUGCCUUUAAGUCAACAUAAACACGUUGGCUCGGUGUGAUACUGUGCAGUGUUAAAGUUGCCGGAAUGACUGCCGAAUCUGCGGAAUGUACGAAGUAAUGCAAUGGCACAGCUUGAUGGGGUUUUUGUUGUUGUUGUUGUUGUCGUUGCAGCAUUCAUAGACAACUUUUCAGUAGAGUGUGUCCCACACUCAUGGUGACGUGCAUGGAAUGUACUUGCAGGAUCUAACCUGUAACAAUUAUUCGUAAUAAUCUAUUUACAACAAUAACUGCAGUGAAACUUUCUUUGGCUAUAGAUAUUGAGGAGCACUUCUUUUCCAGAUAGCUGCAAGCCUGACAUUUUAUUUACCAUGAGCUCAAGUUAACGGUAAAGUGAAAAGCUUUGCGGUGUUUUAACGUUGGUGUAAAUUGCUCACUUAAAGGUUGCCUGAUGGUCUGACCAUAUAUAUUUUGUUUUUUUACUGCCACCUUAGAAGUGCCAAGCACAUGAUCAUUCGGCUCUCAAGACAUCAUCCACUUGAGCACCGGGGGACGGAUACCCUGGGCUAAUCCUCAUGAUGCGUUGAGGCCGCUUGGUGGGCGAGAUCACUUGGCCCGGUAUCUUCUUUGAAGGAAAAUGUGCUUCCAGGAUGCUCACUCCCGGGAUUGGAUUUCGAACCGGCGAACCGGAGAUGUGCAGAAGGUCCUUCGAGGGCAAGAGCUCACGUCUCGAGAAAGGUCAUGGACGCGAACUUGUCUCCCUAAUGCAAGCGCGUGCGCCAUCUCAAAAGGGCACAUUGAGCGCCCGUUCAUGCAGAGGGCAUUGGCUCAUAGCCGAGACCAUCUUUCCACAGGGUCCUGCAAGCAAAUACUGGACCUAUGGAUACGCAACGGUGGUUCUACCUUACAAGUCCUAUUUCACAUGAAGAAGAAAAAAAAACGCCGAACAUUGAAGUAUGUUGAAUCCAUAAAUAAAUCUGACAGAGAUGUAUUGAAAUCAUAAUUACGCGAAAGGAUUUUUUUAAAAUUAAUAACCUUUCAUUCAUUCAAUUAUUUAUGUUCUAUGCUGAGUACGCGUAUGCAGUACAGAACUGUACUUUCAAUAAGUGUGCUAAAAAUUAAAAAAAAAUGCCAUGGGUUUUUCGAGUUGCCUCAUUAAAAAAAAAGCUCAAACUGUUUACUGAUGAAAUGGAAAAGGAAAUGUCUCAUUUGCUCUUGUUUGUUUUAUAGUUACAUCUAAGAUAAUUAGCUAUGUUGAAUUUAUAAUAUAAUCAGCAGGCAUGUUAUUUUGUAUUUUAUAAGCACACCCAUCAUUAGUAUAAUUUAAUAUAUUUUUUUGGGCAAUUUUCUUCAGUAAAUCUGUCAUAAAUGUAUCGGAUUUAAAUCUCUGGUGUAAAAGUCAAUGUGAUUUUAAAUGUGCGGAUACAAGAUAGGAAAAAUAAUACAAAUCCACAAGCGAUUGUUUUUGCCAAUAAAGAUAAAAUAAUAACAUCCAAACUCACGCCUUCUUCAGCAACUAUACACGUGGAAAGUUCGCAUAUUUUUUUGUUGAUAUGUUUUAAUUGUCAUCGAAACUGUAGAUAGAUUCCUUAUCCAAUUCACCAGUGGAUGAAGACCUCUCAAAGCUGCGUGAGUUAGUCACUGUGCCGGUUGGUGAUGGGGGGGGGGGGUAGAAGCAGCCACUGAUGUUAGUUGUGGGGCAGGGAUUUAACUCGGGUUGUGGGGUUCAUUGUGCAGUGGCGAACAAUUGCCCCACCGCUGUACACCCAGCUUCAAUACAUAAGCACAAAGCAAUUUGGCGUAUUUGUAUUUCAUAAAUUCACUUUACUCAUGUUUCACUCAAUGUUGUGUUGGCUUCACGCCUUGUAACACAGAGCAAUGCAUUCUGGAUACGUAAGUAUAUCCUACAUUGUGGAGUAAAAAGCAUGGCCUGUAACAUUCAUUACUGUACUUUAAUUGUAAUUAAAGACUGUACUUGAAUUGUAAACAA